AAGUAAAAGUCUUGGAACACGGUCAGCGCACAGUUAAGUGCGUGAGCACGAAUCCCAAGAAAAAGCCAAGGAUGUUUUCAUUGAUCAAGAACGAAAGUUAGGGGAUCGAAGACGAUCAGAUACCGUCCUAGUCUUAACCAUAAACUAUGCCGACUAGGGAUUGGGAGUCG
rnacentral:rRNA from 13 species